rnacentral:rRNA from 1 species
UACAGAGGUGGCAAGCGUUGUUCGGAAUUACUGGCGUAAAGGGCGCGUAGGCGGUCAGCACAAGUCAGUUGUGAAAUCUCCGGGCUUAACUCGGAAAGGUCAACUGAUACUGUGCGACUAGAGUGCGGAAGGGGCAACUGGAAUUCUCGGUGUAGCGGUGAAAUGCGUAGAUAUCGAGAGGAACACCUGCGGCGAAGGCGGGUUGCUGGGCCGACACUGACGCUGAUGCGCGAAAGCCGGGAGCGAACGGG